rnacentral:rRNA from 1 species
UGGGGAAUAUUGCACAAUGGGCGCAAGCCUGAUGCAGCCAUGCCGCGUGUGUGAAGAAGGCCUUCGGGUUGUAAAGCACUUUCAGCGGGGAGGAAGGCGAUAAGGUUAAUAACCUUGUCGAUUGACGUUACCCGCAGAAGAAGCACCGGCUAACUCCGUGCCAGCAGCCGCGGUAAUACGGAGGGUGCAAGCGUUAAUCGGAAUUACUGGGCGUAAAGCGCACGCAGGCGGUCUGUCAAGUCGGAUGUGAAAUCCCCGGGCUCAACCUGGGAACUGCAUUAGAAACUGGCAGGGUAGAGGAGUGUAGAGGGGGGUAGAAUUCCAGGUGUAGCGGGGAAAUGCGUAGAGAUCUGGAGGAAUACCGGGGGCGAAGGCGGCCCCCUGGACAAAGACUGACGCUCAGGUGCGAAAGCGUGGGGAGCAAACAGG